rnacentral:lncRNA from 1 species
GAUGAUUUGUGGGAUUAUUCUAAAUUUUAUCAUCCAGAAAUUUGGGUAGAUUCACAAAUGGAUUUGAACAUAACAAAGCAGUCAACUAGAACUCACGUAAUGAAUUCUUGAUUUAUUUUUUUCCAGUUAAUUUAUUGCAAGGUUAUGAUUUUUUUUCCAUUAGUCUCAUUGCUUAAUUGUAUUUUUUUCCUCUAUUGUUGGCUCAGGGAGGUGUGCAUGUUGAAUCUGUUGAUUGACCUUCUUUUACAGCAAAGAAAGGAAGCCAUUUUGAAAGAGAAAUCAUGAAGAAUUAUGUAGUUUUGUUGAAGAAGAAGAAGAGAAACUUUAGUAAAAUAUAGGUAUUAUCCAUUAGUUUCUUUUGUUAGUUAUGUGAAACACUUAUUUAG